UAAAAGUGUGCUCCACAUAAGAUCUCACGUUGAAAUCCUGGUAGGUGAAAUCAAUUUUUUUGUUGGGUUAGUCCAUACAAAGUCUUGCUCCGAUUUUAAAUGAGAUCUGUAGCGAUAAAUUCAUGAUCAUUAAACUAUGGAUAAACUUAACGUUAAUAAAACCAUAAUCGUCACCGCGUUUUUAAUGUUUCCAAAGGAAA
rnacentral:lncRNA from 1 species